ensembl:lncRNA
CUGCUUUUCCAAGUUUCCCUUCCUUUUGGAAUGACUUUACUAGUGACUGCGGAAGGAUCUGCGUCCGUAAGACUUAGCAAGGAGCAGUGCAUCUCUGUGCACGUCAGCGGAAGGAUUCAUCCACACUCAGACGCUGCUUCUCCGUGGGGGAAUUCAUUCUUCCGUGAGAGAGCAGCCGGCUCAGAGUUGGGGACGAUACUUGAGGACCAGAAUCUGGAGGACGCUGUUAUCAUUCCUUGAUUGUGUGAGGGUGGCUGUGGAAUAGACCAACAAAAGCAGUGUUUAAAAUGAGCGCUGACAAGCUUGGAUGACUGUGUAAAUAUGAAUCUAAGUUGUGGAAGGUGACUUCUAAAAGCUGUGAUCUGAAAAUCAGCAGACAUCCAACUAAGUUCACCAUAUACUGUAAGAACACCAGGAUGAAUGACAAUGUUAUGGUGAAGCCUAAGGACUAAUAUGUGAAGAAAUAAUGCAAAUAAAUGAAAAUAUGAAUCAUGAGUAGUGACAAGAUUCCACUGAGGAAAUUUAUUUGAAGCAUUUGGGGAAAAUUUUCAGCUGAGGUGAAUUAGAGGACUGAGAAGCCUAUGAAAGCCCCACUAAACAUUGUGUGUUACAAUCCACUAAGAACACUGGAAGACACAUGGAUCUGAACAAAUCCUACAAUGACUUUCCUUCCACAGAAAAUAUUUCAGCACACAGAGAAGAACCAUGGAGAUUAACCCUGGAGGAAAUGUGGAAAAGCCCAGAGAUACAAGGGAACAGUGUCUGGGGGAUGCUUUGAAAUGUAUCACACUUCUUGGAAACAGAAACCAGUCACUCCAGAGAGAACAAAGACCUGCUCUUUCCUGUCUCGCCCUCAGUCAUAGCCAGUCAUCUGCCUCCAUCACACUCCUCCAGCCCUUAUAAACCUCACCCAGCCAAGCCCUGGUUGCUGCUCUCACCAUUGUUCGAGACAGCCUGGCAGCUCUGUCCCUUAAUAAAAGCUCUGCUUUGGGUGUUCGUGUUUCACCUCAUUUUAUUUCUCUCAUUAUUGGUGCUGAACAGCGGGGAGGGAUGUGAUUGGGAUUUUGCGAGGGUCCCCCCACUGGCCAAGGUUGAUUGGCCUCCUGACUGCCCUUGUCGGACCCUGCCAAGCCAACACCCUACCAGGAG